AGCAAGCCUAUUAAUCUGACAUAUUCAUCAUUCCAUCAUAAACUGCUAAGUCAUAUAUCAUAACUUAGAAUCGAAAUAAUAUUGAACAUUGCCCCUCAUAUUGGCAUACCAAACAAGUGUAUAUACACUGUCUACAACAUGUAUCUUAAUAAUUCACAUUAGGUUCGUCUAUACAUAACAAAAGAAGACUCGAUGUCCAGCGGAGAAACUUGACGAAUGUACAGCUACUAAAUGCCGAGACACCUACCAAUAGUCGAGUCUACAAAGGUACCUCGACGACCUAGUUACCAGCUGCCUCGUAAUCUGAAAAUAUGAAGUUGAAAGCGGUGAGCAUAAACUCAGUGAGUGAACAAGAAGGGAACAAGCAUACCAUAAGGAAUGUUUAUCGAAAUC
rnacentral:lncRNA from 1 species